UUACAAAUUUAUUUCAUACAAGUUAAAUGCUUAUUUUUAUAAUGUUGAUUGAAACAACUAUAGUUCAUAGCUACUUCUUACUGGUCAAUGGAAGUAUGAAAAAUGUGUACUUUGACCAAAGUCCAACUCAAAAACUCGAAGAAUAAAUGGAAUUGCUGCUUCCUGCUGAUCUGGUCUGUCUUAGAGUUACCCAUUAUUAUGGAUGCCAAUGCAACCAGCUGAGAGAUCAGUAGUCUGUGUUUUGUCAACACUCCUGAACUGUGGUCCAUUGCCAACAUAUGAGUCAACCUCUAAUAAUAUAUCAUGAGCAGUAUCAUUCAUUGUUGUUGAUGUAGUAGUACUGCAGCAGCAGUAAGUAGCUUGUAAUAGUAAAUUCAGUUUUUGCCAUGG